AUUGAACGCUGGCGGCAGGCCUAACACAUGCAAGUCGAGCGAGUGGCGGACGGGUGAGUAAUGCUUGGGAAUCUCGCUUAUGGAGGGGGAUAACUACGGGAAACUGUAGCUAAUACCGCGUACCAUAGGAUGAGCCCAAGGGGGAUGAGGUAGUUGGUGAGGUAAAGGCUCACCAAGCCGACGCUCUCUAGCUGGUCUGAGAGGAUGACCAGCAACACUGGGACUGAGACACGGCCCAGACGCCGACGGGAGGCAGCAGUGGGGAAUAUUGCGCAAUGGGGGCAACCUGACGCAGCCAGGCCGCGUGAAUGAAGAAGGCUUUCGGGUUGUAAAGUUCUGUCGGUAGCGAGGCGUUAACUACAGAAGAAGCACCGGCUAACUCCGUGCCAGCAGCCGCGGUAAUUC
rnacentral:rRNA from 1 species